rnacentral:rRNA from 1 species
GUGGGGAAUCUUAGACAAUGGGGGAAACCCUGAUCUAGCCAUGCCGCGUGAGCGAUGAAGGCCUUAGGGUUGUAAAGCUCUUUCAGCUGCGAAGAUAAUGACGGUACCAGCAGAAGAAGCCCCGGCUAACUCCGUGCCAGCAGCCGCGGUAAUACGGAGGGGGCUAGCGUUGUUCGGAAUUACUGGGCGUAAAGCGCACGUAGGCGGAUCAGAAAGUCAGAGGUGAAAUCCCAGGGCUCAACCUUGGAACUGCCUUUGAAACUCCUGGUCUUGAGGUCGAGAGAGGUGAGUGGAAUUCCGAGUGUAGAGGUGAAAUUCGUAGAUAUUCGGAGGAACACCAGUGGCGAAGGCGGCUCACUGGCUCGAUACUGACGCUGAGGUGCGAAAGCGUGGGGAGCAAACAGGAUUAGAAACCCGUGUAGUCC